ensembl:rRNA 5S_rRNA 5S ribosomal RNA
GUCUACGGCCAUACCACCAUGAACACGCUCGAUCUCAUCUGAUCCUGGAAGCUAAGCAGGAUUGGACCUGGUUAGUACUUGGAUGGGAGACUGCUGGGGACUGGGUGCUGUAGACU